AUGAACGCUGGCGGCGUGCCUAAUACAUGCAAGUCGAGCGAACAGACGAGGAGCUUGCUUCUCUGACGUUAGCGGCGGACGGGUGAGUAACACGUGGAUAACCUACCUAUAAGACUGGGAUAACUUCGGGAAACCGGAGCUAAUACCGGAUAAUAUAUUGAACCGCAUGGUUCAAUAGUGAAAGACGGUUUUGCUGUCACUUAUAGAUGGAUCCGCGCCGCAUUAGCUAGUUGGUAAGGUAACGGCUUACCAAGGCAACGAUGCGUAGCCGACCUGAGAGGGUGAUCGGCCACACUGGAACUGAGACACGGUCCAGACUCCUACGGGAGGCAGCAGUAGGGAAUCUUCCGCAAUGGGCGAAAGCCUGACGGAGCAACGCCGCGUGAGUGAUGAAGGUCUUCGGAUCGUAAAACUCUGUUAUUAGGGAAGAACAAAUGUGUAAGUAACUAUGCACGUCUUGACGGUACCUAAUCAGAAAGCCACGGCUAACUACGUG
rnacentral:rRNA from 1 species